rnacentral:misc_RNA from 1 species
GAACGCACAUUGCGCCCUUUGGUAUUCCGAAGGGCAUGCCUGUUCGAGCGUCAUUACACUAUUCUUCGGAGUAUUGACAGUGGCUUACGCAUUGUCUAAAACCCUUGGUGGUAACUAUCAAUCACGCAUAGUAAUCUCUGCGAAGGUGGAUAGGUAAACACUGAAAACUUCUUGUUUGACCUCGGAUCAGGUAGGGAUACCCGCUGAACUUA